UUAAAUAGCGGAAAUUUACAUUUUAAAAAUGUAUACAAACCUUCGUUCAUUUACCUAACGCUGCUGCGCGUUUUUCUACUUUUAGAAUAAAGUUGGAAAAAAUUCAUCCGGUGGCAAAUUCAGCUAAAAUUUGUGGCAAAUUUCAGCUUAUUCGGUGGUGCAUUAAAUUUAACCCAAUAUUUUGUAGGAAUUAAAAGUUAGGAUAUUUCGAUAACCAAGGUUCCCGAAGGUACAUAUUAGAGACAAACCGAUUUUUUAAAGUUUUAGACAUAUUAUUUACCAAGGUACACCUUUCAAUCAUUUGUAAUGUGAUUAGAUUAGAUUUGAUUUGAUUUAAGUGCCUUUAUAGUUUUGACGCCGACUGUAUGCAAGCUUACCAGUAGGCACAACGACUCACUUAUCAGAGUCUAUAUAAACUUGCAUGGCAUUGAUUACUUGAUAUCAGUCUGGCGUAAAAUAUCGUCUCAAGAGCAUCAAAGAAGCAGUAUCGUCUUCACCUAAAUUAAAGCAUUUUUUACCGGAAAGUUGAACAUGAUUUCCCGAACCAGGAUCCUCGUCGCAUUUUUGUUGGCUCUGCUAAUUUUUCAAUGCGCAAUUGGGAUGUCCGAGUCGGCCACGUGGUGGGAAGCCACUAAAGAAGUGUGUGCUUACGUAGGCCCAAAAUUAGUCUUUGUGGGCACCAUAAUGGGUUUGGUUGCGGCAUGAAGUUUUUUAAAUUAAAAUUUUAUAAAUUAUUUAUGUAUUUCAAAAAUGCCAAAUGAUUAUGUUAAUAAGAAAAAAACGCAUGUAUUUUAUGUUGGUUAUCCGACCGAAGUCAAUCUUUAAAAGUAUUUAUUAUAAAUUAUUGGAAUAAAUUGUGAAUUAUGUAGAAAUAAA